rnacentral:lncRNA from 1 species
CUCAGGGGUAAAGAAUCUGUCUACAAUGCAGGAGCCACAGGAGAUGCAGGUUAGAUCCCUGGGGCAAGGAAGAUUCCCUGGAGGAAGGCAUGGCAACCCACUCCAGUACUGUUGCCUAGAGAAUCUUACGGACAAAGGAGUGCGGUGGGUUACAGUCUACAGGGUCACAAAGCAUCGGACACGACUGAAGUGUCUUCUCAUCACGUCUUAAUGUGGACCUCCUCGGGUUCCUCUUGUUUGGUGCUUUCUAUGCCCCUGGAGCCAUCUAUUUUCUUCUCUAAUUUAGGAAAGUUGUCAGGUACGUUGGUUUCAUUUUCUGCAAUUGGAGAAGGUGCACUAUUAGGCGCAGCUGCACACUAGCCUCUGGUCACCAGAGCCAUUCUACGUGGGCGCCAUCUGCAGUUCUGAUUUUGUGGGGCCAGUUACUCUGGCUAUCCUGAGAAGCUGCCUGGGCUCCACCCCCUGCUCUCUGUCCCUUCCAUUCAGCUUCCAGUUUCUGCCUUGAAUGGGCUCACUCGGGUAUGUUUUCCCCUCCACUUCCACCACCAACAAGCUACCUCUCAAUGUGUCUCCCAGUCUAACCCCCACCAAGAGGAAGACUGGGAAUCAGUGUUACUAUGAAGGAAGACUCUGACUUCACCCCUCCUCAGAAGCCCCCAGACACCCUGAAGUUAGACGUCCAACUGAUACAUCACAGUGGCCAAGACCACAGUCAGUUGGUGAUCCUUAAUCCAGGAAAUGGACCUAGACUCAUUAAGUUCAGAAGCGGUAUGGCUUCAGUAAACUUUUGUCAGUUGUUCUUAGAACCUAACCCAUCUACAAGGCAUGUGAGUGUCUUCAAGAUCUGUUCUUUGCCUACCUUUACUGCUAAGAUUAUCUCUAGCCUCAUACUUUGUGUAUGGAAAAAUUCCAAACUUAUAGAAGAAUCAAACAAGUAUCACAAUAUACAUGUACC